rnacentral:rRNA from 1 species
AUUGAACGCUGGCGGCAGGCCUAACACAUGCAAGUCGAGCGAGCGGCGGACGGGUGAGUAAUGUCUGGGAAACUGCCUGAUGGAGGGGGAUAACUACUGGAAACGGUAGCUAAUACCGCAUACCAUCAGAUGGGCCCAGAUGGGAUGAGCUGGUAGGUGGGGUAAGGUCUCACCUAGGCGACGAUCCCUAGCUGGUCUGAGAGGAUGACCAGCCACACUGGAACUGAGACACGGUCCAGACUCCUACGGGAGGCAGCAGUGGGGAAUAUUGCACAAUGGGCGCAAGCCUGAUGCAGCCAUGCCGCGUGUAUGAAGAAGGCCUUCGGUUUGUAAAGUACUUUCAGCGAGGAGGCGUUACUCGCAGAAGAAGCACCGGCUAACUCCGUGCCAGCAGCCGCGGUAAUAC